rnacentral:rRNA from 1 species
UACGUAGGGUGCGAGCGUUAAUCGGAAUUACUGGGCGUAAAGCGUGCGCAGGCGGCUUCGCAAGUCAGGCGUGAAAUCCCCGGGCUUAACCUGGGAAUGGCGUCUGAAACUACGGAGCUGGAGUGUGGCAGAGGAGGUAGAAUUCCACGUGUAGCGGUGAAAUGCGUAGAUAUGUGGAGGAAUACCGAUGGCGAAGGCAGCCUCCUGGGCCAACACUGACGCUCAUGCACGAAAGCGUGGGAGCAAACAGG